rnacentral:lncRNA from 1 species
AAAAAAAAACUCCAAGCAAAACUCCUUGAUUGAUGGGUGCAAGGCUCCAACAGCUCCAAGCAAAACUCCUUAAUUGAUGGGUGCAAAGCUCCAAAAACUCCAAGCAAAGCUCCUUGAUUGAUAGGUGCAAAAGCUCCAAAGAUACCAAGCAAAGCUCCCUAAAUUGACGCAUGCAAAAUCUCCAACUCCUAAAAAAAAAAAAAAAAAGAAAAAAAAGAAAAAGCCUGGUCAGGAACGCACGCAGCAGAAAGAACUUCAAGAAAACAAAAUCCUCUUUCGAGCAAUUUGUCGAACACAUGGCAUGCAGAAACGAAAAAAAGGUGAUUUUCUCACAGCAAUGGAAAGAAGAAUUCACCAAGAUUUCAACACCAAUGCUGUCAAUGAAAGACAACCGAAAGAAGAAGAGGAUUUCUGCAAUUCAAGCUUGAGUUUGAAGAAAAAU